rnacentral:snoRNA from 1 species
UGCGAGUGAUGUGAAAGAAAAUGUAUCUGAACAGCUGUGCUGACCUUUUCCACCAAGAUCACUGAUGCG